rnacentral:rRNA from 1 species
UACGUAGGGUGCAAGCGUUAAUCGGAAUUACUGGGCGUAAAGCGUGCGCAGGCGGUUUUGUAAGUUUGUCGUGAAAGCCCCGGGCUCAACCUGGGAAUUGCGAUGGAGACUGCAAGGCUUGAAUCUGGCAGAGGGGGGUAGAAUUCCACGUGUAGCAGUGAAAUGCGUAGAGAUGUGGAGGAACACCGAUGGCGAAGGCAGCCCCCUGGGUCAAGAUUGACGCUCAUGCACGAAAUCGUGGGGAGCAAACAGG